GCCAGUGGUGAACUCCACAUACGCAUCCUUUGCUGAGGAUACGGUUAACGGAGCGAAAGCGACGUUCAACCGCAAAAGAAGCAGAGGGGGCUUAGUGGUGGGGUGACUGCGUACCUUUUGUAUAAUGGGUCAGCGACUUAUAUUCUGUAGCAAGGUUAACCGAAUAGGGGAGCCGGAGGGAAACCGAGUCUUAACCGGGCGUUAAGUUGCAGGGUAUAGACCCGAAACCCGGUGAUCUAGCCAUGGGCAGGUUGAAGGUUGGGUAACACUAACUGGAGGACCGAACCGACUAAUGUUGAAAAAUUAGCGGAUGACCUGUGGCUGGGGGUGAAAGGCCAAUCAAACCGGGAGAUAGCUGGUUCUCCCCGAAAGCUAUUUAGGUAGCGCCUCGUGAACUCAUCUCCGGGGGUAGAGCACUGUUUCGGCUAGGGGGCCAUCCCGGCUUACCAACCCGAUGCAAACUGCGAAUACCGGAGAAUGUUAUCACGGGAGACACACGGCGGGUGCUAACGUCCGUCGUGAAGAGGGAAACAACCCAGACCGCCAGCUAAGGUCCCAAAGUCAUGGUUAAGUGGGAAACGAUGUGGGAAGGCCCAGACAGCCAGGAUGUUGGCUUAGAAGCAGCCAUCAUUUAAAGAAAGCGUAAUAGCUCACUGGUCGAGUCGGCCUGCGCGGAAGAUGUAACGGGGCUAAACCAUGCACCGAAGCUGCGGCAGCGACACUCAGGUGUUGUUGGGUAGGGGAGCGUUCUGUAAGCCUGCGAAGGUGGCCUGUGAGGGUUGCUGGAGGUAUCAGAAGUGCGAAUGCUGACAUAAGUAACGAUAAAGCGGGUGAAAAGCCCGCUCGCCGGAAGACCAAGGGUUCCUGUCCAACGUUAAUCGGGGCAGGGUGAGUCGACCCCUAAGGCGAGGCCGAAAGGCGUAGUCGAUGGGAAACGGGUUAAUAUUCCCGUACUUGGUGUUACUGCGAAGGGGGGACGGAGAAGGCUAUGUUGGCCGGGCGACGGUUGUCCCGGUUUAAGCGUGUAGGUGUGUGUUCCAGGUAAAUCCGGUUCACUUUAACACUGAGGCGUGAUGACGAGGCACUACGGUGCUGAAGCAACAAAUGCCCUGCUUCCAGGAAAAGCCUCUAAGCAUCAGGUAACAUCAAAUCGUACCCCAAACCGACACAGGUGGUCAGGUAGAGAAUACCAAGGCGCUUGAGAGAACUCGGGUGAAGGAACUAGGCAAAAUGGUGCCGUAACUUCGGGAGAAGGCACGCUGACACGUAGGUGAAGUGAUUUACUCAUGGAGCUGAAGUCAGUCGAAGAUACCAGCUGGCUGCAACUGUUUAUUAAAAACACAGCACUGUGCAAACACGAAAGUGGACGUAUACGGUGUGACGCCUGCCCGGUGCCGGAAGGUUAAUUGAUGGGGUCAGCGCAAGCGAAGCUCCUGAUCGAAGCCCCGGUAAACGGCGGCCGUAACUAUAACGGUCCUAAGGUAGCGAAAUUCCUUGUCGGGUAAGUUCCGACCUGCACGAAUGGCGUAAUGAUGGCCAGGCUGUCUCCACCCGAGACUCAGUGAAAUUGAACUCGCUGUGAAGAUGCAGUGUACCCGCGGCAAGACGGAAAGACCCCGUGAACCUUUACUAUAGCUUGACACUGAACAUUGAGCCUUGAUGUGUAGGAUAGGUGGGAGGCUUUGAAGUGUGGACGCCAGUCUGCAUGGAGCCGGCCUUGAAAUACCACCCUUUAAUGUUUGAUGUUCUAACGUGGACCCGUGAUCCGGGUUGCGGACAGUGUCUGGUGGGUAGUUUGACUGGGGCGGUCUCCUCCUAAAGAGUAACGGAGGAGCACGAAGGUUGGCUAAUCCUGGUCGGACAUCAGGAGGUUAGUGCAAUGGCAUAAGCCAGCUUGACUGCGAGCGUGACGGCGCGAGCAGGUGCGAAAGCAGGUCAUAGUGAUCCGGUGGUUCUGAAUGGAAGGGCCAUCGCUCAACGGAUAAAAGGUACUCCGGGGAUAACAGGCUGAUACCGCCCAAGAGUUCAUAUCGACGGCGGUGUUUGGCACCUCGAUGUCGGCUCAUCACAUCCUGGGGCUGAAGUAGGUCCCAAGGGUAUGGCUGUUCGCCAUUUAAAGUGGUACGCGAGCUGGGUUUAGAACGUCGUGAGACAGUUCGGUCCCUAUCUGCCGUGGGCGCUGGAGAACUGAGGGGGGCUGCUCCUAGUACGAGAGGACCGGAGUGGACGCAUCACUGGUGUUCGGGUUGUCAUGCCAAUGGCACUGCCCGGUAGCUAAAUGCGGAAGAGAUAAGUGCUGAAAGCAUCUAAGCACGAAACUUGCCCCGAGAUGAGUUCUCCCUGAGACUUUAGGUCUCCUGAAGGAACGUUGAAGACGACGACGUUGAUAGGCCGGGUGUGUAAGCGCAGCGAUGCGUUGAGCUAACCGGUACUAAUGAACCGUGAGGCUUAACCUUACAACGCCGAAG
rnacentral:rRNA from 1 species